ensembl:lncRNA
AUAAUACAUUUUAAUAGUCGAAGCAUGUACACUAAUUUUGAGGCUAUCAAAGAUUACUUGGAACAUUUCUCUCAUCCAUUUAGCAUUAUUGCAAUUACUGAAACCUGGUUUAACGAUGAUAAAGGUAUUGAUUUCUGUCUUGAUGGCUAUGAAUUAAGAUAUAUAAAUAGAAUAAACAAAAUAGGAGGGGGGGUUGCUUUGUACCUUCAUAAAUCUGUUAAAUUUAAUGUUUCAACUGAUAUGACCAUAGCUGUGGAUGGUUUAUUUGAAUGCAUAACAGUGGAAAUUCAUAAUGAUAAAAAGACAAAUAUCUUCAUGAGUUGUGUAUACCGGGCACCUGGUUCAAGCAUUGAAUCUUUCAAUGAGUGGAUGGGUAAACUGUUUUCUACUGUGAACCAAAAGAACAUAUUUAUCUGUGGUGACUUUAACAUUGAUUUGUUAAAUCCAACCAAACUAAAAAACGUUGAUGACUUCACUGACACAAUGUAUAGCUUGUCUAUGUACCCAACUAUAACGAAACCGAGCAGAAUAACGUCACAUAGUGCCACAAUCAUUGACAACAUUUUUACAAAUAUUAUGGGAAAUCAAAUCAUCAGUGGCUUAUUUAUAUGUGAUAUCACUGACCACUUACCUGUUUUUGCGUUGUAUGACUGUAAUCUCAAGAAAACGAAAGAUACUAUGAUAAAAAUCUCUAAACGAAAAAUUACUGAGGACAUGAUUAGUGCCCUAAACAAUUGUUUGGCGCUCCAGGAUUGGACUUCAGUCUACAGAGAACCUAAUGUGGACAGUGCUUAUUGUAAUUUUUUAGAUAUCUUCACUUCCUUGUAUAAUAAACUCUGCCCUGUGAAAGAAUAUUUUAUACAGGAAAAACAUAAGAAAAGCCUCUGGAUUACGAAAGGAAUAAUUAAUGCCUGUAAAAAGAAAAACAAUCUAUAUAAAGUGUUUAUUAAAGGAAAAACAAAAGAAGCUGAAUUAAGAUAUAAGAAGUACAAAAAUAAAUUAACUGACAUUAUAAGAACAAGCAAACAGUUAUAUUAUCAAAAAAAAUUAUAUGAACAUAAAAACAAUAUACAAGGAACUUGGGAUGUUUUGAAUAGCCUAAUCAAACAAGGAUCAUCAAAGUUGACAUAU